rnacentral:rRNA from 1 species
AACGAACGCUGGCGGCGUGGAUAAGACAUGCAAGUCGAACGGGACAGACCGAGUAGCAAUAUUUGGAAUGUUCAGUGGCGAACGGGUGCGUAACACGUGGAUAACAUUCCGGAAAGCGGGGAAUAGCCCAGGGAAACUUGGAUUAAUACCGCAUGUGGCCGCAAGGCUAAAGACGGGGACCGCAAGGCCUGUCACUUUCCGACUGGUCCGCGGCCUAUCAGCUAGUUGGCGGGGUAAUGGCCCACCAAGGCUACGACGGGUAGCUGGUCUUAGAGGACGGCCAGCAACACGGGAACUGAGACACGGCCCAGACACCUACGGGUGGCAGCAGUCGAGAAUCUUUCACAAUGGGGGCAACCCUGAUGGAGCGACGCCGCGUGGAGGAUAAGGUCUUCGGAUUGUAAACUCCUGUCAUGCGAGAACAAGGUACUCAGGCUAAUAACCUGAUUGUUUGAUGGUACCGCAAGAGGAAGAGACGGCUAACUCUGUACCAGCCGCCGCCGUAAGAC